UGGUUUGAGAGAUUGAAGCUGCCAGCAUGAUCUGGUAAUUAACCAAACACAUCUAUGAUCUAUAUUCUUAUGCCUAGUAUAUAUAUAUCACACUAGCUAUUAGGAACUAAUAGUAAUGAAUUAGAGGAAAAUGCCUUCUAUUGAUUUAAGAUCGGUGGUAGUGUCAAUGGUAAAAAAACAAAUGGAAUUCUCUAAGAACAAGUAUUGACUUUGUUUGGCUUGGUUUUGUAAGAUUUCUUAAUCUAAAGUGGUUUUUGAGCCAAGAAAAAAACUUGUUGUCCUUUAAGGAUACUAGUUAGGGCAAUUAGUUAUAAAAGAUAUGGUUCCAUCAGGUCAUGUUGCAGCUUCAAUCACUCAGUCA